rnacentral:rRNA from 1 species
GAGUUUGAUCGUGGCUCAGGACGAACGCUGGCGGCGUGCUUAACACAUGCAAGUCGAACGAGAAUCUACUGAAAGAGUUUUCGGACAAUGGAAGUAGAGGAAAGUGGCGGACGGGUGAGUAACGCGUGAGGAACCUGCCUUGAAGAGGGGACAACAGUUGGAAACGACUGCUAAUACCGCAUGAUGCAUAAGGGUCGCAUGAUUCUUAUGCCAAAGAUUUAUCGCUUCAAGAUGGCCUCGCGUCUGAUUAGCUAGUUGGCGGGGUAACGGCCCACCAAGGCGACGAUCAGUAGCCGGACUGAGAGGUUGAACGGCCACAUUGGGACUGAGAUACGGCCCAGACUCCUACGGGAGGCAGCAGUGGGGAAUAUUGGGCAAUGGGCGCAAGCCUGACCCAGCAACGCCGCGUGAAGGAGAAGGCUUUCGGUAUGUAAACUUCUAUCAGCAGGGAAGAAAAUGACGGUACCUGACUAAGAAGCCCGGCUAACUACGUGCCA